rnacentral:rRNA from 1 species
GAUGAACGCUGGCGGCGUGCCUAAUACAUGCAAGUCGAGCGAACAGACGAGGAGCUUGCUCCUCUGACGUUAGCGGCGGACGGGUGAGUAACACGUGGUUAACCUACCUAUAAGACUGGGAUAACUUCGGGAAACCGGAGCUAAUACCGGAUAAUAUAUUGAACCGCAUGGUUCAAUAGUGAAAGACGGUUUUGCUGUCACUUAUAGAUGGAUCCGCGCCGCAUUAGCUAGUUGGUAAGGUAACGGCUUACCAAGGCAACGAUGCGUAGCCGACCUGAGAGGGUGAUCGGCCACACUGGAACUGAGACACGGUCCAGACUCCUACGGGAGGCAGCAGUAGGGAAUCUUCCGCAAUGGGCGAAAGCUUGACGGAGCAACGCCGCGUGAGUGAUGAAGGUCUUCGGAUCGUAAAACUCUGAUAUUAGGGAAGAACAAAUGUGUAAGUAACUAUGCACGUCUUGACGGUACCUAAUCAGAAAGCCACGGCUAACUACGUG